rnacentral:rRNA from 1 species
AUUGAACGCUGGCGGCAGGCCUAACACAUGCAAGUCGAGCGGAUGAAGGGAGCUUGCUCCUGGAUUCAGCGGCGGACGGGUGAGUAAUGCCUAGGAAUCUGCCUGGUAGUGGGGGAUAACGUCCGGAAACGGGCGCUAAUACCGCAUACGUCCUGAGGGAGAAAGUGGGGGAUCUUCGGACCUCACGCUAUCAGAUGAGCCUAGGUCGGAUUAGCUAGUUGGUGGGGUAAAGGCCUACCAAGGCGACGAUCCGUAACUGGUCUGAGAGGAUGAUCAGUCACACUGGAACUGAGACACGGUCCAGACUUCUACGGGAGGCAGCAGUGGGGAAUAUUGGACAAUGGGCGAAAGCCUGAUCCAGCCAUGCCGCGUGUGUGAAGAAGGUCUUCGGAUUGUAAAGCACUUUAAGUUGGGAGGAAGGGCAGUAAGUUAAUACCUUGCUGUUUUGACGCUACCAACAGAAUAAGCACCGGCUAACUUCGUG